AGAGCGAACGCUGGCGGCAGGCUUAACACAUGCAAGUCGAACGAUCCUUCGGGAUAGUGGCGGACGGGUGAGUAACACGUGGGAACGUGCCUUUAGGUUCGGAACAACACAGGGAAACUUGUGCUAAUACCGGAUGUGCCCUUCGGGGGAAAGAUUUAUCGCCUUUAGAGCGGCCCGCGUCUGAUUAGCUUGUUGGUGGGGUAAAGGCCUACCAAGGCGACGAUCAGUAGCUGGUCUGAGAGGAUGGCCAGCCACAUUGGGACUGAGACACGGCCCAAACUCCUACGGGAGGCAGCAGUGGGGAAUCUUGCGCAAUGGGCGAAAGCCUGACGCAGCCAUGCCGCGUGGAUGAUGAAGGUCUUAGGAUUGUAAAAUCCUUUCACCGGGGACGAUAAUGACGGUACCCGGAGAAGAAGCCCGGCUAACUUCGUGCCAGCAGCCGC
rnacentral:rRNA from 1 species